CUGGGGUGGAAAGGUAGGUCUACUCUGUCUGGGGUGGAAAGGUAGGCCUACUCUGUCUGGGGUGGAAAGGUAGGCCUACUCUGUCUGGGGUGGAAAGGUAGGCCUACUCUGUCUGGGGUGGAAAGGUAGGCCUACUCUGUCUGGGGUGGAAAGGUAUGCCUACUCUGUCUGGGGUGGAAAGGUAGGUCUACUCUGUCUGGGGUGGAAAGGUAGGUCUACUCUGUCUGGGGUGGAAAGGUAGGCCUACUCUGUCUGGGGUGGAAAGGUAGGUCUACUCUGUCUGGGGUGGAAAGGUAGGCCUACUCUGUCUGGGGUGGAAAGGUAGGCCUACUCUGUCUGGGGUGGAAAGGUAGGCCUACUCUGUCUGGGGUGGAAAGGUAGGUCUACUCUGUCUGGGGUGGAAAGGUAGGCCUACUCUGUCUGGGGUGGAAAGGUAGGCCUACUCUGU
rnacentral:lncRNA from 1 species